GGAUCAUUAACGCAUAACUACCAGUUAUCCAGUUUUGGAUAUUGGUGUGCCAGUGAGUCUCAGUCAGUCCGAUGUCCUUGGUCCCGCGGCAGGCGUGCAUGAAGCGCUGUCGCGGGGCUGUGAACGCUAUGUCUUUCGGGGUACCUAUCACUGUCCUAGAUGUGACCCACGGUGACGGCUUAGAGCCCGUGUGCUCGCCGGGUCGCGACGGUUCAAAGAGUGGCCGGCCGCAAGGCCGGCGACCGCCCCACUCGUCCACGUCGUCCCACAAACUGGCAAAAGCUCGGGAGGUUACGUCCGGGGUACCUAUGCCCUGCACGCGUGCUUGCAUGCAGGGUGGUAGCUCCAGCUCGUCACUUUGGCCGCGAGGUUCAAAGAGACGGCCGUGCCAUUCACGCUCUCGAUGGCACUGGUCGCCGCCCCGGGCCUCCCACAAUUUUUCCUUUACCAAACACAAAAUUAUUUUUUUAACGCCGAUCAGGUCAGGCCACGACCGGUCGGCGGGUGCAAGUCGAAUAAAAAACGUCUAUAACUUUGAGCGGUGGAUCACUCGGCUCGUGCGUCGAUGA
rnacentral:misc_RNA from 1 species